AUAAAAGCUUUUUAUUUUAGUCAAAUGAUUUAAAUCUAGUCUGACUUUCGACUAUCAGCAUAAAGUACAGCAAAAUUAUAGCAAUUUUCUUUUUUUGAUCUAGUAAAUAGAUAACUAUUUUGGGGCAAUUGCCACUUCCUUCAACUUUUAUGUCCCUCUAGGGCAGGGGUCUCAAUCCCUGCUCCUGGAGACCUAGUGUCCUGCAGAUUUAAGCUUCAUCCCCAGUCAAACCUGAACCAGCUAACCAAGGUGUUCUGGGUUACAUAUUACAGGCAGGUGUUUUUAGAGUGUGUUGGAACUGAUGUUUACAGGAUGGUAGCUCUCUAUUAGCAGGGUUUGAGUUCUCUACUCUAGGGCCUUACUGCAAUAUUUUGGCUUCUUGCCCUGACUUUCGAUUCAGAGGUCCAUUAGCUGCAACCCCAGCCAAAGAUAUCCUUCCUCAAAACCCCUUCUGGCAACAAUGGAAUCCCUUUUCUCAGAAGUAGCAGCUACAAGAGUCUUCUAAAUGGAUUUUGUAGCUGUGGUGGGGUUCGAAGCCUAGGGGAGCCCAGUCCUCCUCCUGGAGAGCUACUUACCUGCAGAGGUCAGUUCCUAACCUGCUCCAAAUACACCUGUAAUUAUUAAGUGUUACUAAAGAUCUUUAGUUCAGAAUAUUGGUUUGUGACUGUUGUAAAUGAGAAUAUAUGAAGAGUUCAGAUGCAAAAGCCUCUAAGUGCCAUCUAAAAUUUUCUUCUAAUAUGGUUAUUUUCUCAGGCUCCUAUGUUUAUGUUCAGUUAUUUUACUUUAAUGGGAAAGAAAAGAAACUAUUCAUUGCCAUUAAAGUGAAAUUACUGAACCUACACAUAGGAGCCUGAUACAAAUGCUCAUUUUAGAAGAAAAUUUCAAAUGGCACUUAAAGGCUUUUGCAUCUGAACUCUUCAUGUACCAUUUGUUUUUCUAGAUGACUUUAAUAGCUUCACAGAGCUUUAUCAGCAUGAAGACUUGCAGCUACGUCUUUGAACUUUCACUUCUCUCCUCAUGGUUCCUUGCUGUCCUGGUUGGUUCCUGCUGUCCUCCUAACAUCUCAUCACAUCUGUUUCAUCCUCUUCACCCUCACAUCUCUACAUCCUGACUGACUCCACUUAGGCAGAUCGGCACUCAUCCCCUCUGAUCCAUGUCUCCCAACAUCAAUCCAAGCAUUCCUCAUCUUCUCCUGAGACCUCAGGAAGGGCUGGAUACAUGACAUCAUACUGAUGUCAGGAUUGUAUGACUAUCAGUUGAGGUCAUCUGUAAAUAUUGACAUAUUAGCGCUAUGAAGACAUGUAUUAGAUCAGUAGUUCUCUGCUGGUUUUGUUUCAAGUCCUAGCUUUUACAUUGGACAUUGGUAGAUCUAGUUUAUAUUUGCAUUUAGUGACCCUAUUAGUGACGCAAGAGAAAAAGAGAGAAAAAACAGCUAGAUGUAGCACAGAAUGGAAAAAAUGCAGGUAUCUCAGAAUACAUUUUCAUAAGCUGAACGUCAUAAAAACAGCAUUCAUGACAUCAAACAAUCACAAUGUCCCAAAUUUCCACCUAGUGCAUGUUAAAUGGUUAGUUCACUCAAAAAUAAAAAUUCUGUUAUCAUUUACUCA
ensembl:lncRNA